rnacentral:rRNA from 1 species
GAUGAACGCUGGCGGCGUGCCUAAUACAUGCAAGUCGAGCGAACAGAUGAGGAGCUUGCUCCUCUGACGUUAGCGGCGGACGGGUGAGUAACACGUGGAUAACCAACCUAUAAGACUGGGAUAACUUCGGGAAACCGGAGCUAAUACCGGAUAAUAUAUUGAACCGCAUGGUUCAAUAGUGAAAGACGGUUUUGCUGUCACUUAUAGAUGGAUCCGCGCCGCAUUAGCUAGUUGGUAAGGUAACGGCUUACCAAGGCAACGAUGCGUAGCCGACCUGAGAGGGUGAUCGGCCACACUGGAACUGAGACACGGUCCAGACUCCUACGGGAGGCAGCAGUAGGGAAUCUUCCGCAAUGGGCGAAAGCCUGACGGAGCAACGCCGCGUGAGUGAUGAAGGUCUUCGGAUCGUAAAACUCUGUUAUUAGGGAAGAACAAAUGUGUAAGUAACUAUGCACGUCUUGACGGUACCUAAUCAGAAAGCCACGGCUAACUACGUG